UACGAAGGGGGCUAGCGUUGCUCGGAAUUACUGGGCGUAAAGGGCGCGUAGGCGGAUGUCUAAGUCGGGGGUGAAAGCCCAGGGCUCAACCCUGGAAUUGCCUUCGAUACUGGACAUCUUGAGUACGGGAGAGGUGAGUGGAACUCCGAGUGUAGAGGUGAAAUUCGUAGAUAUUCGGAAGAACACCAGUGGCGAAGGCGACUCACUGGCCCGUUACUGACGCUGAGGCGCG
rnacentral:rRNA from 1 species